rnacentral:tRNA from 1 species
GGGCCGUUAGCUCAGCUGGUAGAGCGCUUCCAUGGCAUGGAAGAGGUCAUCGGUUCAAAUCCGAUACGGUCCACCA